GUGCCCAGCUGUGCCUCCCUGAAGAGAGACUGGUCUAUGGAGCAUCCUCCUCAAUUUAAAGAAGGACGCCCCACUGGAGAGCAGAAAAGAGUCCAACAGGAGAGAGCAGACUGCCCUGUGCCCAGCUGUGCCUCCCUGAAGAGAGACUGGUCUAUGGAGCAACCUCCUCAAUUUACAGAAGGAAGCCCCACUGGAGAGGAGAAUCGACAAGAGGUGAGGUCAAAGGUUACCAGUGAUCUGCCUUCACAGCAGCCUCCAACAGAGCAGUUCAUGAGGGUUAAGGAGAACGCACACAAGUUUCUAGACGAGGAGCUGAAGAAGCUGUGGAGGGUUCACUUCCCUGAUUACCCACACUGCUCAGAAAGUCUGAGGGAGAAGGAUGACGUGGUGGAUGAGGAGGAUGAGGAGCAGAGGAAGCAUGCCCUAGAGGGCGUUUUAGACAUCACGCUGCUCUGCCUGAAGCAGUUGAAGCUGGAACAGCU
ensembl:lncRNA